rnacentral:rRNA from 1 species
AUCUGGCCUAAUACUGACGCUGAGGUACGAAAGCAUGGGGAGCAAACAGGAUUAGAUACCCUGGUAGUCCAUGCCGUAAACGAUGUCUACUAGCCGUUGGGGCCUUUGAGGCUUUAGUGGCGCAGCUAACGCGAUAAGUAGACCGCCUGGGGAGUACGGUCGCAAGACUAAAACUCAAAUGAAUUGACGGGGGCCCGCACAAGCGGUGGAGCAUGUGGUUUAAUUCGAUGCAACGCGAAGAACCUUACCUAAUCUUGACAUACCACAGAAUUCUCAGAGAUGCGGAAGUGCCUUCGGGAACUGUGAUACAGGUGCUGCAUGGCUGUCGUCAGCUCGUGUCGUGAGAUGUUCGGUUAAGUCCGGCAACGAGCGCAACCCACGUCCCUAGUUGCCAGCAUUCAGUUGGGCACUCUAUGGAAACUGCCGAUGAUAAGUCGGAGGAAGGUGUGGAUGACGUCAAGUCCUCAUGGCCCUUACGGGUUGGGCUACACACGUGCUACAAUGGUGGUGACAGUGGGUUAAUCCCCAAAAGCCAUCUCAGUUCGGAUUGUCCUCUGCAACUCGAGGGCAUGAAGUUGGAAUCGCUAGUAAUCGCGGAACAGCAUGCCGCGGUGAAUACGUUCCCGGGCCUUGUACACACCGCCCGUCACACCAUGGGAGUUGGGUUUACCCGAAGGCGGUGCGCCAACCAGCAAUGGAGGCAGCCGACCACGGUAGGCUCAGUGACUGGGGUGAAGUCGAAACAAGGUAGCCGUA